rnacentral:lncRNA from 1 species
GAAAAUUAACAAAAUUGUCAAAAUACACAAGACAUUAUGGAUGAGUAAGAUUGAUGGUCAAACCUGUAAAAAGCAUGUUGUAAUUGUUAUAGUUCAAACAUUCUUCAAUUUCUUCAUCUUAGAAGGUGGCCAUCUACCCUUCUUCCUCAACUUUCGCUUCCUGACUAGCCUUUUCCUCCUCAACCUUAUCUUCUUAGCUAGCUUCAUCCUCAACCUCUGUUCCUCCCUCUCCUUCAGCUUCGAUUCCAACGGGAGCUUGUCAACCGCGACGACCUCUUUCGUGGUCUCCGAAGGAGGAAGAGCAGACUGAGACCCACCACCUUCCUCUGGUGAACUUGUUCCAUCAACACCAUCCCCAAUUGCACCAGCUGUCACCGCAUUGUUCCUCCUCUUGGAGGCAAUGGGUGUCGAGAUUUGAACUUGUCUCAAACAAUUGGUGGGCAGACCAACAACAGGGUUAAGAUGCACCCUUGAAACUGAGAAACCAACAACAUAGACACAACAAAUUUUUAGGACAACUGGAACACAAUAGCUUGAAUAAUGGCAUCAAUUAUUAUCAAACUUCAUUUCUCACUCUUGGAAAAAGUGAGUCAAUUGUUGUUAAGGUGAAUAGUUAUGUUAAUGUAAUAUGUUAGGAGUGAGAGGAUAAGGCAGAUGCAACGGUAAAGUUUGUUACUUAGUGACCAUGCACGAAUUUAAAUUCUCGAAACAAUCUAUGCUUAUGAGUUACGGCUAUAUACAUUAAACUCUACUAAGUAGGAGUCUCGUGCACUAGCCGACUUUUACUUUCUUUUUUUAAUAUGUUUAAGUUGAAAUGAUAGGAGGUUACCUGGUGUGAUGUCAAUGGUGAGAAUAGAGGAAGAGGGAGUAGGAGAUGAGAGGGGUGAAUGCAGUGAGAAGGAAUUGAAGAUUAGAAGAGCCAUGAUGUAUCUUUGAAAGUGCUAGUGUUAAUAUUGUUGCUUAUGAUAUCAUUUUAGAACAAGAUUGGAUUUGGUCUUCAUUUUCAGAUAAGCCACAAAGAUAGGUGGGUCCUCUACCCACUCAUUGUCUCAGUCUUUCUUCCUUACUAAUUAAGGGCUGUUUAGAUUAAUACUGAUAAACUAUAAUGUUUAAUAUAACAUUUUUGUUUGUAAAAUUCAAUAAAUAUUGUUAAUAUCAUAUAUCUUCUUCUCACUAAUAUGUCUAAAAGAAGUAUAAUUCACAUUUGACAAAUAUUUCUAAUCAUGACACUUCCACGUGUUAUGUGUUUCUAAUUAUUUAUUAUUUUGUUGAUAUUUUUUAAUAAUUAUGUUUCUUUUUUAUUUUCACAUUGUUUUUAUUUAGCAUACACAAAUACUUCUGAUUUCUGAAACAAUAAAAAUAAAAUUAAGUUAACUAAUUUCACUUAGAAAUAAAUAUAAAUAAAGAAGUUCGUAACAUUUUAUUUAAUUUCAGCUAGAUUAUUGUUCUUUCAAUUUAUUCAUGGUAGAAGAACAAAUUCAAAUUAGUUUAUAGCUUCCUUUCAUUUCUUCAUUUUCUUCACAAACUCAGGAUGAAAAAAAUUGGUGCUCAUGCAUAUUUUUUUAUUUCCCUUCUAUUUAGUGUCGGAAUCAAAUAAUAGAAAAUCACAUUUUCUACAACUUUUAUUUCUUGUUUUCUAUAUAACCAAACAUAGCGUUAGUGCAUAGUAACUCUGAAUCCCGAGAAAGCAUACUAGAAGUGAGUUCAAAAACUCUCCAGUAUUGGAAUGUCUAAUACUAGAAUAUGAGGAACAUCAAGACUUUGUUAAUUUUAAAAGUUAUUUUAUUAAAAAGUAACUUAAAAUCAUGACUGUUGAAAGUUUUUCUAUGACAUCAUAAUCUCUAUUUACUACUGGAUCCUAUCAGAAGACGGUCGAUUCAACAGAAGUGGUCAAGGUACAGUACUUUAAAAAAGAAACAGAAAUUCUUUCUACUCACAAGUUCUAAAACCUUUUUAUAUUGCCUCCUAAUUCCUAAGCAGAACAAGUAGAGAGUAGAUUAUACUUCAAAAGUUAAAACAAAUGUCUGUGUCAAAAUACUCAUUUCCAGCCAGAAUUAGCAGUAAUAUACCUUGUUACUAUUCUAUACUAAUUUAGUACUUGUUUACUUCAUCUUCUACAUAGAAAGCUCUUAUCUAACAUAACUCUUUGGUGUUAUGUUUUCUAAGAUAAUUUACUGAGUGUAUGAAAAGCUCAGUGAUAUAUUUAUCAUAUUCUUGCAGGUUAACAGUGAUCUUUCUAGCCUUUCAUGUAAUUUUUAUUAUCUUCUGCAUUGGGGUAUCAGGUCACUUCCUAAGUAUAUGUUUGGUCAAUCAAAUUCCUUGGUGAUGGUUGAUGACAAAAAGCAAUCAAGAAUUGGUUCAUGCAAUGGAAUCUAUAUUAGUCAACUUCAUGUCCAUCCAGAUUAUUCUGUGAGUACUGUGGCUUCUCCUAUAUCUUCCAUUCAGUAGUUCUUUAGUGUUAAUAACAUUUUGAUGGUUAAUUGACUUUUACCUCUUUCCAUGUCAAUGUUCAUUCCCUUUAACUGCCUAUCAGAUUUCAUGAGGGUUCAUGUCAAAUAUCAGUGUCUUUUCUUCAGUGUUGUUGUAAAGUGUUUAGGCUUAAAGCCCUUGGUAUCGUUGGUUCUUUUACAAAAUGUUGUGGACACUAACUUUUGUAUGUAUAUCUGAACACAGGAUCGUCUCAGCAUGAUGGGUUCAAAUCCUAAAAACAAUUUCUUCACUUGCGACGUUUUGCUCCUAUGAGGUUGCCCCUUGUGGUUUUUACCUUUACACCUUGUGGUUUUUUACCUUAACACUUAACCCCCGGAUUCAAAUGUUACCUCGUGAUCUUGGUCUGUUUUCCAUAACAGAGGACCAAAACUAACGAUUGGGUUCAUAAAAUCUCCAUCACUUUUCCCUUCUUGCGCCUCCAACCGCCAUGUGGUGAAGAACAUUCCAUUAGUCAUCUUUUUUUUGCAUGAAAUGAUAGAACUUGCUCUUUAUUUCGUUACUUAACAUGCACAUAACAUUCGAGAACAUAUUCCCUAGCAGUAAAACGCUGCAAAGUGGGACCAAGUAAACAUACAAAUCCACAAUGUUUCAUCUAUAAAGAUGAUGGUAGCAUGGAUUCCAAAUCAAAACCCUAUUUCAAUAUCAGAACCAAUUGGGGACUACCUGUUAGGAGUCUCACAUUGAGUAGAAUAGUAAACUUAAUGUGGUAUUUAAGCUAUGAGACUCUCCCACCUAAUAGACUAGUCUUUUGAGUCGAGCUCUCCUCGGACAUUAAGUCCUAACAAUUGGUGUCUUUCAUUGAGAGUUGCAUCACGGAAAGGGCUACUAUAGACUGGAUGUCGGUAUAUUACCGAAUACUCAUAGAUAGUGAAGCGUCAAAAUACGCUGAAGUUCUAGUCUUUUGGGUUGGGCUCUCCUCAUGGGGACUACCGAAUACGCUGAAGUUCUUGAGAAAAGUUAACAAAAAUACCGAAAUGCCAAUGGUGAUGCUAUAUGGGUAAAAUAUUCCUAAUGUUAAUACUUCCGUACUCUUAGCGUCAAGAAGCUUAAGGCUUUGUGAAUUGAACAACAUAAUAUUUUACUUAUGCAAUAAAUAAUGAAAUUUAUUUCAAGUACUUAGUUUUUAUGGAGAAAGAGAAUCAACAAGUGUGCACUAAUAAAUAAAAAGGAUGACUCAAUGCACUAGGCUUUCAUUCAGUGGGGUCUGGGGAGGAUACCUUACUCUCACAAGUGGAGAGAUUGUUUCCAAAAUUUGAAAUUGUGACUUCAUGAUCAUUAAAUAACAACCUUACCGUUGUGUCAAGCUCACCCUUUUUGUCCACCGAUAAAUAAAAUAAAAAAACUCAUUAGGGAAGACAUUGCUCCUUUGUCCCCAAUGAAAUGAUAGAAUUUAUCUUUAUUUUGCUACUGAUUUGUUUUCAUUACUUAACAUGCACUAAACUUAAAAGAACAAGAUUCUCAAGCUAUUAAAAACACUUCAAAAAUGAGAUCAAUCAAACAUCCAAGUACACCAGCCAUUCCAUCAAUAAAGAUGAUGGAGGCAUGGAUAUUCCAAAUCACAGCAGAAGUAUGGAUAAAGAAUAGCUAGAUUCUGCAUUUAGGAAACGCAAAAUAUGAUUGAUUACCAUGCUAGCAUCAGACCACAGAAUUCUUUUCAUUACCCAACAUUUUUUCCAGUGAAAUGAUAAUUUUUGAUUUUUUGGUAAUUUCUCGUGACUAAUUUUAUUUACAUAAUUUGUAGAACAUAUUCCCAAGUAUCAAAACAAAACCCGAGAAUGGGAUCAAUCACACAUAAAAAAUACACCAAUCAUUUCAUAUAUAAACAUGAUGGUGAGAGAUGGAUUCGAAAUCAAACCACCAAUUUCAACAUCAGAACCAAAUAGGGAGUUAGGGACUGCUACAUACAUUAACAUUAAACAUUCUUCAUUGAAAAUUAACAAAAUUGUCAAAAUACACAAGACAUUAUGGAUGAGUAAGAUUGAUGGUCAAACCUGUAAAAAGCAUGUUGUAAUUGUUAUAGUUCAAACAUUCUUCAAUUUCUUCAUCUUAGAAGGUGGCCAUCUACCCUUCUUCCUCAACUUUCGCUUCCUGACUAGCCUUUUCCUCCUCAACCUUAUCUUCUUAGCUA